CUUCGGGCCUUGCGCUAUCAGAUGAGCCUAGGUCGGAUUAGCUAGUUGGUGAGGUAAUGGCUCACCAAGGCGACGAUCCGUAACUGGUCUGAGAGGA
rnacentral:rRNA from 1 species